GUCCACGCCCUAAACGAUGUCGACUGGUUGUUGGGGUUUGACACUCUCAGUAACGAAGCUAACGCGUGAAGUCGACCGCCUGGGGAGUACGGCCGCAAUGUUAAAACUCAAAGGAAUUGACGGGGACCCGCACAAGCGGUGGAUUAUGUGGAUUAAUUCGAUGCAACGCGAAAACCUUACCUACCCUUGACAUGUCCUGAAGCCUGGAGAGAUCCGGGUGUGCCCGAAAGGGAACGGGAACACAGGUGCUGCAUGGCUGUCGU
rnacentral:rRNA from 1 species